rnacentral:rRNA from 1 species
UACGUAGGGUGCGAGCGUUGUCCGGAAUUAUUGGGCGUAAAGAGCUCGUAGGCGGUGUGUCACGUCGGCCGUGAAAACCUGGGGCUCAACUCUGGGCGUGCGGUCGAUACGGGCAUCACUUGAGUUCGGCAGGGGAGACUGGAAUUCCUGGUGUAGCGGUGAAAUGCGCAGAUAUCAGGAGGAACACCGGUGGCGAAGACGGGUCUCUGGGCCGAUACUGACGCUGAGGAGCGAAAGCAUGGGUAGCGAACAGG